rnacentral:rRNA from 1 species
AUUAUUGGGCCUAAAGCGUCCGUAGCCGGCCAGGCAAGUCUGUUGGGAAAUCUGCUCGCUCAACGAGCAGGCGUCCAGCAGAUACUGCUUGGCUCGGGACCGAGAGACUCAAGGGGUACGUCUGGGGUAGGAGUGAAAUCCUGUAAUCCUGGACGGACCGCCGAUGGCGAAAGCACCUUGAGAGAUCGGAUCCGACGGUGAGGGACGAAAGCUGGGGUCACGAACCGGAUUAGAUACCCGGGUAGUCCCAGCUGUAAACGAUGCCAGUUAGGUUUGGCGCGGGCUACGAGCUCGUGCUGUGCCGCAGCGAAGGCGAUAAACUGGCCGCCUGGGAAGUACGUCCGCAAGGAUGAAACUUAAAGGAAUUGGCGGGGGAGCACUACAACCGGAGGAGCCUGCGGUUUAAUUGGACUCAACGCCGGACAUCUCACCAGCUCCGACAGUAUGCAGUGAAAGUCAGUGUGGUGAGCUUACUUGAGCUACUGAGAGGAGGUGCAUGGCCGCCGUCAGCUCGUACCGUGAGGCGUCCUGUUAAGUCAGGCAACGAGCGAGACCCGCACUCUUAAUUGCCAGCAGCAGUUUCGACUGGCUGGGUACAUUAGGAGGACUGCCAGUGCCAAACUGGAGGAAGGAACGGGCAACGGUAGGUCAGUAUGCCCCGAAUGAGCUGGGCUACACGCGGGCUACAAUGGUCGAGACAAUGGGAAGCCACCUCGAGAGAGGGCGCUAAUCUCCGAAACUCGAUCGUAGUUCGGAUUGUGGGCUGAAACUCGCCCACAUGAAGCUGGA